rnacentral:rRNA from 1 species
GGAUCUAGUGGCGCACGGGUGCGUAACGCGUGGGAAUCUACCCUUGGGUUCGGAAUAACAGCGAGAAAUUGCUGCUAAUACCGGAUGAUGACGUAAGUCCAAAGAUUUAUCGCCCAGGGAUGAGCCCGCGUAGGAUUAGGUAGUUGGUGUGGUAAAGGCGCACCAAGCCUACGAUCCUUAGCUGGUCUGAGAGGAUGAUCAGCCACACUGGGACUGAGACACGGCCCAGACUCCUACGGGAGGCAGCAGUGGGGAAUAUUGGACAAUGGGCGAAAGCCUGAUCCAGCAAUGCCGCGUGAGUGAUGAAGGCCUUAGGGUUGUAAAGCUCUUUUACCCGGGAUGAUAAUGACAGUACCGGGAGAAUAAGCUCCGGCUAACUCCGUGCCAGCAGCCGCGGUAAUACGGAGG